rnacentral:ncRNA from 1 species
AUAAUAGGUUGAUCUUCCCCAAUAGUUCACAUUGACAAGAAGAUUUGGCAGUACAUUCCAACGGUUAGGUUGUUCACCCAUUAAAGCAGUAUGUGAGUUGGCUUCAAAACGCCAUGAUACAAUUUGGUCCAUAUCUAGUGCGGGUAUUAGAUCAUUGAGAGGACCUUUACUUAGUACGAGAACAUCAUGAAGGAUGCACCUUUGAUGUACCAAUUAUCGUGCACAUGGUAGACACUAGGUAUCCAAUUACAAAGCAAAUAACUACUGAAAGAAUUUAAGUGGGAAUCCCACCCCAAAAUGAGUACUCUCCUAUUCUUGCUUCCCUAAGAGCCCCUAGUUGCAAACAUGGUUGGGAAAAUGAUGGGUUCUCUAUCCUUGCAGGGGAUGCAAUGACAAAAGUAUUGAGAAUCCAACAUAAGGUCACGACGAGAUGAGUUGUUUAUCAAUAUGAUAGGUUUCAAGUGGAAGUGCAAUGAUGUAUGCAAAUGAGGCAUCCUAAUGGACCCAGAGUGAACCUU